AGUCUUAUAGUUUAAUUAAAACUUUAAAUUGCAAAUUUAAUAAUGAAUAUUAUUUAUAUCUAAGACUU
rnacentral:tRNA from 1 species